GGAGAUAGCUCAGUGAUAGAGUGCAUGCUUAGCAUGCAUGAAGUCCUGGGUUCAAUCCCCAGUAACUCCA
rnacentral:tRNA from 1 species